rnacentral:pre_miRNA from 1 species
UCAGCCACGGCUUACCUGGAAGAUUGAAUGUCUACUUGGCUUUCUUCCUGUCAGCCGUGGGUGCCU